UUAUGGCUCAGUUGGUAAAGCAUGAGAAUGUUUACCUCAGGGUUGUGGGUUCGAGACCCACGCUGGGCAAAA